CCUACGGGAGGCAGCAGUGGGGGAUAUUGCACAAUGGGGGAAACCCUGAUGCAGCGACGCCGCGUGGGUGAAGAAGCGCCUCGGCGCGUAAAGCCCUGUCAGCAGGGAAGAAAAUGACGGUACCUGAAGAAGAAGCCCCGGCUAACUACGUGCCAGCAGCCGCGGUAAUACGUAGGGGGCAAGCGUUAUCCGGAUUUACUGGGUGUAAAGGGGGCGCAGACGGCGAUGCAAGCCAGGAGUGAAAGGCCGGGGCCCAACCCCGGGACUGCUCUUGGAACUGCGUGGCGAGAGUGCAGGAGGGGCAGGCGGAAUUCCUGGUGUAGCGGUGAAAUGCGUAGAUAGCAGGAGGAACACCGGUGGCGAAGGCGGCCUGCUGGACUGCAACUGACGUUGAGGCCCGAAAGCGUGGGGAGCAAACAGGAUUAGAUACCCCAGUAGUC
rnacentral:rRNA from 1 species